rnacentral:tRNA from 1 species
GCGGGCGUGGCGGAAUUUGGCAGACGCGCCGGCUUUAGGUGCCGGUGGGCGAAAGCCCUUGGGGGUUCGAGUCCCUCCGCCCGCA